GGUUUAUUCUUUAGGAUGUAAAGGAUUUAGGUUUCUCUGUUUGUGUUACCUUUUGCAUCAUGAUUUAGUCGAGUUAGUUCUGCUGUUUGUGGUGUUCCGAAGAAUACUGAUUUUCUUGUUUUUUGCUCAGAGCUUAGGAGGAGGUGUGUAGCCUUUUUAAAAAAAAUGGGAGGUUGUGAUAAAUAGUUCGGAGUAUUUGAUAUCUGGUUGGGGGUUGGUCGUUUUUGAGGUAGGUGUUCUGCUAAGAAGUCAGGGUACUGGGAAGAGAUUAUUUUUGUUUUUAUUUAAGUGAGGUUAGGGUUACCUUUCUUUUAGGAGUGUGUUAUUAUUCUUUUGGUAUGGAAAUGAGUCUUUCUUUUAGCUUCCCCCUGUUGAAUUUUUUUCGUAGUAAUGAUAGAAUAAGUAGAUUUUAUUAGCUCUUUCUUUUCUCGACUCUUUUCGGUCUGUUUAUUAAAAACAUUUCUAUCUGGGCUUUUUAGAUAGUAUUGCCUGCCCAAUGCGUUUGUGAAUGGCCGCAGUAUAUUGACUGUGCUAAGGUAGCAUAAUUAGUUGCCUCAUAAUUGGAGGAUUGUUUGAAAGGUUUGACCAGAGAAGUAUGUUAAGUGAGGGUUUUUUGUUGAAAUUGGUGUUUGGGUGCAGAGCCCCAAAGGAGGUAAUAAGACGGAAAGACCCCGGGAUCUUUAUUUUGUGGGAUUUGUUUGGGGUAAAAGCAUAUUAUUUAUGUGUUUUUAGAUCCUUGUGGAUAGAAGGUUAGAGUUACCCCGGGGAUAACUAGGUAAAAGAAAAGGAGAGGUCUUAUCGAUUUUUCUGAUUGCCAUCUCGAUGUUGACUUAGGAAAAAUAAUGUGUUGUAGGAGUUGCAUUAUGAGGUCUGUUCGACCUGAGAUUCCUUCAUGAGUUGAGUUAAGACCGGCGUGAGCCAGGUCGGUUCUUAUCUAUUAUGGGUGUGGGUUAGUACGAAAGGAUUGCUUAUGCUUUAGGUGUAA
rnacentral:rRNA from 1 species